rnacentral:rRNA from 1 species
AUUGAACGCUGGCGGAAUGCUUUACACAUGCAAGUCGAACGGCAGCACGGGGCAACCUGGUGGCGAGUGGCGAACGGGUGAGUAAUACAUCGGAACGUGCCCAAUCGUGGGGGAUAACGUAGCGAAAGUUACGCUAAAUACCGCAUACGAUCUACGGAUGAAAGCGGGGGAUCGCAAGACCUCGCGCGAAAUGGAGCGGCCGAUGUCAGAUUAGGAGUUGGGUGGGGGUAAAAGGCCUCACCAAGCCGACGAUCUGUAGCUGGUCUGAGAGGACGACCAGCCACACUGGGACUGAGACACGGCCCAGACUCCUACGGGAGGCAGCAGU